rnacentral:rRNA from 1 species
UGAGGAAUAUUGGUCAAUGGAGGCAACUCUGAACCAGCCAUGCCGCGUGCAGGAAGACGGCCCUAUGGGUUGUAAACUGCUUUUAUACAGGAAGAAACGGAUCUACGUGUAGGUCUUUGACGGUACUGUAAGAAUAAGCACCGGCUAACUCCGUGCCAGCAGCCGCGGUAAUACGGAGGGUGCAAGCGUUAUCCGGAAUCAUUGGGUUUAAAGGGUCCGCAGGCGGUCAAUUAAGUCAGAGGUGAAAUCCCGCAGCUUAACUGUGGAACUGCCUUUGAUACUGGUUGACUUGAGUUAUACGGAAGUAGAUAGAAUAUGUAGUGUAGCGGUGAAAUGCAUAGAUAUUACAUAGAAUACCGAUUGCGAAGGCAGUCUACUACGUAUAUACUGACGCUCAUGGACGAAAGCGUGGGGAGCGAACAGG